rnacentral:rRNA from 1 species
GGCCGCGGGAAUUCGAUUCAGGCCUAACACAUGCAAGUCGAGCGCAGGAAACUGACGAAACUCUUCGGAGGGAAGGCAGUGGAAUGAGCGGCGGACGGGUGAGUAACACGUAAGGAACCUGCCUCAAGGAUUGGGAUAACUCCGAGAAAUCGGAGCUAAUACCGGAUAGUUCAACGGACCGCAUGGUCCGCUGAUGAAAGGCGCUUCGGCGUCACCUUGAGAUGGCCUUGCGGUGCAUUAGCUAGUUGGUGAGGUAACGGCCCACCAAGGCGACGAUGCAUAGCCGACCUGAGAGGGUGAUCGGCCACACUGGGACUGAGACACGGCCCAGACUCCUACGGGAGGCAGCAGUAGGGAAUCUUCCACAAUGGACGAAAGUCUGAUGGAGCAACGCCGCGUGAGUGAUGAAGGUUUUCGGAUCGUAAAACUAUGUGGUAAGGGAAGAACACGUACGAGAGGUAAUGCUCGUACCUUGACGGUACCUA